GUUGUCGCGUUCGUUGUAGCUGUCCGCGGAGAG
rnacentral:antisense_RNA from 1 species